GAAUGUGAGAGCGAUCUGGUUGUGACAUCUGUCACUUCAUUUAUCGCCAGGGUUGAUUUGGCUGAUCUGGUUGGCUAGGCUGGUGUCCCCUUUCUCCCUCACUGCUCCAUAUGUGUCCCUUCCAAAGCUGUGAGCUCUCGGAUAGAGGAAAGGACGUUCUUUGGUCAAGGGUAUACAAGUAGGUGUGUUCCCCUGCUAGAACCUUCAAACAAGCUCUCAAAAACUACAGCGUUUUUGUGCCUCCAAUACUCUAGCUCCACAGACAACCCUAUAUAAGGCUAUAUUUUCCAGU
rfam:Pteropus alecto contig53618, whole genome shotgun sequence.